rnacentral:misc_RNA from 1 species
CCACGAGUUGGUUCAGUUGGUUUUGGGCAACAGGUGUGAGGUUGUUAGUGCUACACAUUGAAGAAUCUAUCGUUCUUACAGCAAGAGGUAGCAAUGAAGUCCGAUCAGAAGCCAUUGGUUUAGGAAUUGAUUUGAGAAAUCUCCGAAAUCCCAUUUUCUCUUUGUUCUACGUUCCUUGGCUGAAUUUAUCCUCUCCCACUUCUCACAUAGUUAUAUUUUCAUGAAAACCCUCGAAGAAGAAGCAAUUGGG